rnacentral:lncRNA from 1 species
UGGACAAUGAGUCCCAUCAUCUCUCCACCAUGCACCUUGUGACUCCCUCCUCUGCUGACAACAGAUAACCACCUUUAACUGUGGUCUUCUAUACGGACAUGCUUGACACUUGGUGCCAAAAUCUGGGCCAGGGGGACUCCUUCGUGAGACCGGCCCCCUGUCCUGGCCCUCAUUCCGUGAAGAGAUCCACCUGCGACCUCGGGUCCUCAGACCAGCCCAAGGAACAUCUCACCAAUUUCAAAUCGGAUCUCCUCGGCUUAGUGGCUGAAGACUGAUGCUGCCCGAUCGCCUCAGAAGCCCCUUGGACCAUCACAGAUGCCGAGCUUCGGGUAACUCUUACGGUGGAGGGAUCUGCAAUCAGAACUAUUGAACUUCUCCAUUCAGACCGCCACUCACACCUAUGGGAAAAGGGUAAUGUAUCAUCGGCUUAGCAACAGGGAAUACUAUUCGUAUGAUGGAAAAUGGGGACAAAAGGCUUUGGUACAUAAAACAUUAUUCCUUCCUUGGCCUAAAAACUCAUCGCCACCUACAUUAAAGCUAAUAUGCCU